AUGCCAAUGACGUGGAUGCCUCCCUAUGCUCAUAUAGAUCCAUAUCCAUCAUGGGACAGGUAUGAUACAAGGGCACAUUCUCCAUCUUAUUUUAGACCAUCUCACCAAUAUUAUGCAGCUCCGAGAAGAUCAACAUUUGAACAAUCACAUGUUAAAGACCAUUUCAAUCACAAGGAAUCGGUUCAGAGCUUAAGGAAGAAGAAAGAGGUGGUCAAGCAAGUUUACCGUGUUAAAAGAGAUGGUCGUAAGAGUGCAACUUUAGAUUUGAUCUCAAAUGAAAAACACCCAAUUAAUGUGUUGACAUAG
rnacentral:rRNA from 1 species